rnacentral:rRNA from 1 species
UACGUAGGGUGCGAGCGUUAAUCGGAAUUACUGGGCGUAAAGCGUGCGCAGGCGGUUUUGUAAGCCAGAUGUGAAAUCCCCGAGCUUAACUUGGGAACUGCAUUUGGGACUGCAGGGCUAGAGUACGGCAGAGGGGGGUAGAAUUCCUGGUGUAGCAGUGAAAUGCGUAGAUAUCAGGAGGAAUACCGAUGGCGAAGGCAGCCCCCUGGGUCGAUACUGACGCUCAUGCACGAAAGCGUGGGGAGCAAACAGG